rnacentral:rRNA from 1 species
CAGCCGCCGCGGUAAUACGAAGGGGGCUAGCGUUGCUCGGAAUGACUGGGCGUAAAGGGCGCGUAGGCGGUGGCCAAAGUCAGGCGUGAAAUUCCCGGGCUCAACCUGGGGGCUGCGCUUGAUACUUGGUUGCUUGAGUGGGGAAGAGGGUCGUGGAAUUCCCAGUGUAGAGGUGAAAUUCGUAGAUAUUCGGAAGAACACCAGUGGCGAAGGCGGCUCACUGGCUCAUACUGGACGCUGAGGUGCGAAAGCGUGGGGAGCAAACAGGAUUAGAUACCCGUGUAGUCCCUGUCUCUUAUAC